GCCGGGCAUGGUGGCUCACACCUGUAAUCCCAGCACCUUGGGAGGCUGAGGCGGGCGGUUCACCUGAGGUCAGGAGUUUGAGACCAGCCUGACCAACACGGUGAAACCUCGUCUCUA
ensembl:misc_RNA Metazoa_SRP Metazoan signal recognition particle RNA